rnacentral:tRNA from 1 species
CGCGUGGCCUAAUGGAUAAGGCGUCGGUCUUCGGAACCGAAGAUUGUAGGGUCGAGUCCUACCGUGGU